GUAUAAUGUGUUGAUUAUAAUUUCAUUUCAGGUUCUUUCUGAGACAUGUUUUCAUGGUGUGGGAAUAAGACUUGGUGGUCUUAUACAGCUAAUACAAAGGUUAGCAUCACAGCUUGUCUGUAAGGAUUGAAGCUGGGAGUGGGCAUUGGAGCUGACUUUUAUGAUAACUGUGGCUGCAUAAAAUGGUUGUGUGAUAUAACUGCAACAGUAAAGAAUGUAAUUCAGACUAUUUUUGUGUAUGCUUGAGAAAAUGUUUAUAAUUU